rfam:Oryza sativa (indica cultivar-group) chromosome 5, whole genome shotgun sequence.
AUCCCAUGAUAAGGAUAGGCGGCCACGUAUUCCUGCAGACAUUCCUAUGCUUCCGGAAUAGACUCGUCCCUUGUAUGUUGGAAACUGGAAAUCCUUCCAUGAAGGGC